rnacentral:piRNA from 1 species
UAUACUCCUGCAGGACAAGAUUUCUCAGCC